AUGGCGAUCCAAGCUGUGACCUUGAACUUCGUUCGUGGAGCUGGGAAAACGGGGAGCUCGCGUAAACUGAAUGAGUGGCCGGUUGUUCUUGCUAAUCAGCAGGUUCUAAAUGUGGAUGCUGCUUUUUAUCUAGGCGAACACUCAGGAGGAUGUGGGGCCAUUGUACGUGAUAACCGCGGUAACUUCAUUGGUGCAGCCACGGCAAAACUAACUCACGUAGCUGAUGUGGUUUGUGCAGAGGCGGCGGCACUGAGAGAAGGCCUCAAAUUCCUCCAGAAUUUGGGAUGCAACAAUGUGAUAGUAAGGAUGGACAAUAUCAUUGUCAUAGAUGCCAUGAAGGCGGCGCCUAUUCUGGAGGAGUGCUUGUCCCUUUUGCAAGAUUUUGGGAAGGUUUCCAUUGAGCAUUGUAAUCGUGAGUCAAAUGUAGUUGCUCAUGAGCUAGCUAGGUGGGGAAGCGUUAACAAUCCGUCUGUGUGGGUUGAUGCACCACCAAAUUUUAUUGUAAAUUCCCUUGUGGACGAUAUAGCAGUGAUUGAUAAAUAA
rnacentral:rRNA from 1 species